CACACAAAAAAAUACACUAUCAUAUUUUUGACUGACAAGAACCCUAAAAAAGUUCUCUCAACAUCAUCUUCUCUCUCAAGAGACCACAGCUGCCAAGCUCCCUUGCUGCCUCUGCCAAACACCGGAUUCUGGCGAGUCUAGUAGCCUUCAGCCUCCUCCUAUCUCAAAAAGGGACUCUCUCAACUCCAAGAGAGAACAACCGCAUAUCCAUCUUUGGAGAUUCCCCUUUGUCUCUCACCCUCACUUCUCAAUAGACAGCCACCUCCUCCUUCAUUUUUCAUCUGUUUUCCCUCAACCUUGAGAUAAAAAAAGCUUCCCCCAUCUCUGUUCCUUCACGGCUUUGUUCAAAACCCGCCGGAAAUAAUUUUAUUUGGUCAAACGCAAACAGAUCUGACCGGAUCUGUGUUUUCCGGUCGACUCCGGCGAAGCCAUGUUCUCUUGAUGUUGCUGGUGCUAUUCCGGAGUCAUCGCUGUUGAAGUAGCACCGCUGGCCUUUGAUAAUGAAGCUAAAAUCUAGAGAAACCCGGAACCUUAUCUUUCUGGCCACCUCUGAGUUUUGCGGCCACUGGUUCUUGCGCUUUCAUCCAACAAUUUGAGGCCUUUGGUUGUGAUUGUUUGCUGUGUUUGGACGUUAUUACUCAACUUGGGUCCGUUUGAUUGACUCGGUUUUGGCAAGAGAUGCAGAUUGGAACAAGAAUACUACACAGGCCGAUCACAGUAAUUUUUGAGGCUACGAUUCCACGAACGACCUUCUAAACCGGGCCCAAAAUAACGAGACGAUGAUAAUAAACAUUGGGGAAUAAAAGACGAGAUGCGAUGAACCAAUAAAACUAUGGAGGGCGACAAAGUUGGCCACCGGAGUCGUUACCGAGACGGUUCCCUUCCUCAUGUCUAGGCGGAUAUCGAAAAACACAUAUCUAAACCUCCUAUAUUAUUUUUAAAACUAUUUUUCAAAAAUAAUUUCCGAAAAACAUUUUUUGCAAACAAUUUUUCAUAAACAAAAAUAUUUUUGCAAAUCAUUUUCAAGUGCAAUUUUUCAAAAACAUUUUCAAAACAUGCCACUUUAUUAACUUAUCUUUUAUGUUAUAUUAUUUCGCUAACAAUUUUACUUUUCUUGUCUUGCGAGGUACUAUUAUACGAAGCCUCUUUCGAAAGACGGCAUUUGGAAAAAGAUCGAAGACAAAUACCUCAUCGAUCCCCGCUUCGUACUUCCCAUUCAUGGAUGUACCCAAAACCAAAAGUAUAGUAAAGUAGUAGAUAGAUGUGUUUGUUUGCUUGCUUUAAUAUUAUCUAUUUGCUAACCAUUUAGGAAAUUGCAUCUACUUAAUAAUCUGUAAUUCAUAAUGUUGUAUGUUAUGUGAGUUCAAAAAAUUAUUCAUGUAUGCUAGGUUGAAUACAUUCAUAAUGUGAUUGAUAUGCA